CUGUGCAUAAGGGAGCAGACGCUCGCUACACUCGAUUGCCCUCUAGUGGCCAAAGUCGGAAAGCCAGUCAAGCCUUGCAGAACUGCCUCCUAGACAAGGUUGGGGUCAGAGCGUGGUGGGAGCACGCAGGAGGAGCCCUCCUGCGCUCCGGUGCGAGGGAAAGCCUCCCAGAGGACACGAUGCUUCCACUGAGCCUGAUGAGGCAGUCAAGGCACAGAGUGGCAGAGGGACUCAGCCACAGUCACACGGCUGAGGGGGCGGAGCCAGAAGUGGGAGGCUGGCUCCCGAGGCCCUGCUCUGAACCGCUUGCCCUUCAACUCUCCGUGUGCUGGUCGCCAGGGACACGCAGAACCACACUGAGGAGUGUGUUGCCUUUACCUGUCUCCUUUCCUGUUCCCCACCCCUGUUCAACCUGUUUCCCACCCCCUGCAGGCUAUUUAAUGGCUAAGUGAAUCCUAACGAGAUAUUAACUAGAUGCGAAACACCUGUACCUUCUCCCCUGAAACCUUCCCUUCUGCUCCGUGUCCCAAUGUUUGCCACAGCAUCCGUGUGUGUUUGCAGAAGUUUCAUGGGUGCAGACUCCCCUGUGGGAUUAGUGGGAGGGCACAGCCUCUGAUCUGGGGAAAUUUAUGUUCAAAGGGAGUUGAGGUGGAUGAACUAUUCAGUUUGCUGCUUUUGCUCACUAUCAGUGUGGUGAGCUAGUGUUUUUUUAAAAGUGUGAGUGGUCGCACAUUAGUGAAUCAUGACCAAUUUAGCACGUCUCAGGUCAUGCUAUAUUUAAAUUAAAUUAACAGGGAGGCCUGGUGUGCUGCAGUCCAUGGGGUCACAAAGAGUUGGACAUGACUGAGCAACUGAACUGAAAUUACAGUUUAUAGUAUCAUGUACGUCUCAUGUGGUAUGGUUAAGUAUCGUCUUGGGAAAUUUUGUUUUAGCUGUGUGCAUCUGUGUAUGAAGGUGUGCACACACUUGACUAUGAUAUAAAAUAUAUUCUUUCUUUUAAAA